CACUGUUUCCAGGGUGGCCCUAAGCACCCUGCGGGCCAGAUCCAGCCCCUGAGCCUUCAGUUUGACACCCCCAGCCUAGAUUCUACAACAUGACCUUACGGAGCAGCAGCAAGAGAAAUCUGUCACUAGCAUUCACUAGUAAAGUCCUUUUAUUUCAGAGAUCCUCAAAUUCUGCAGUAUACCAGAACUGAAUUUAUGUGGGGCGUUUACUGUAAGCGUUGAAUGCCCAACUCAUGCAUCCUUUCGGACCUUGCCCUAGUCUACUCUAAGAGAAGGCAGCUACUGGCUUGUCCAGAAAAAGCGAGUCCAAGUACUUCCAGCAAUCCAGCUUUGGUGUCUGCAGAGUCCAGGGGUGGGCAUGGUCAUGGUGGGCAUGGCCUACUUGGCCUCCUGCACCACGGUGGGGGGUGGGCUUUGGAGGGCGGAAAUGGGCCCAUUUCUGGCCUUCCAGAACCUCUGGGAGGCUCAUUUUUCGCCCUACCUGAGCCUCUGUGUGGACCCUGUACUUACUUGGCAUGCGUGGGGACUCCUGGGAGGGGUGGGGUGAGGUUGGACAGGGUGGGAGGGGGCACCCAGGGGUGGGAUUUGUGAGUUCUCCAAACUGGGUAGAUUCUUAGCUAGAGGUUCUCCCGAACCUGUGCGAGCCUGGAGCAGCCCACCCUUGGGGCCCUACCCCAUCUAGGCAUAACUGCAAAGCAUCUAGAUACACAAAGGUUUCUUUGUAUCUUCAAAGGUUAUAAGAAAGCUUCUAAGAAUUGAUAAUCCGAGAUACAUAAGCAAUGCACCUGCGCACUCUCUUCAAAAAGUUCUUCAAGCCCCAAGACAGCAAUUGGCAAUGAUUAUAGAGAAGAAAAAAAACCACAUUUCUGCAUGAAAUCGCUGCCCAUUAUUGUUACUAUAUUAGGUAUAAUACUACAUGCCAUAGUUUGUCACAACCCCGGAGUGCAGAGGUAGCGUCAAUGCAUGUGGAACUUCACCAUAAGUAACGAUUUGAGGGAAAACUGGAAUAGCCCAAGAAGAGAAUGGCACAACAGGGAGAAGACUCAUCAAAAGACAGGUUGAAGUGAAAGAAGGAAACGUCUCCGAGCCCAUGCAAUUCUGAGAACGAUCAUCAAAGUAUAGACCAGGCACAAGGAACCCAAACGGAACCUUAAGCUGAUCAGAGCUGCUUCCUUAUUGCUGCCUGCCUAUUUACAAGAAUCUCACCACACUGACUAUAUUCUCUUGGGAACAGCCAGGUAAAGAAUUCGGGGAUUCUAGGAGGUGGGAUGGGCUCUCUGAUUUCCAUCAUUUUCUUCCCUGCAAGGACCCUGAGCUCAGCAGUCUUUUCUCUCCCCACUCGAGCUGGAGAUUCUACCACAGGCUGCAGAAUCAUAGCCCCCCCCUUCCCUCCCCCCGCAAGAUGGGGCUGUGGGAAGAAGAGCAGGAAGCAACACCACUCCGAAGGAGCCCAGCGAUUUCUCCAAGAUGCCAGUUAUUUGGCAUGCUAUGAAACACAGCUCUGCUUCAUAACAAUGGACCCCCAUAAGACAAAUACCCAACAGCAUGGUGCUUCUGGAAUACGAUUAAACCUCACACAAAUACUGUUUUUUUUUCCCUUACCAAAAAAAUGCUGAUCAAAAUUGUUCUCUGGGGAGCGGCCACUGAACAAUGGGUAGAACUUGCCCAAUUCCCAGCCUACCAAACUCAUAGAGUACAUUUUGUCCUCCAAGCUUAUGAAUUAAUCGCAGCGCUGCUGGUUUUUUUUUUUUUUUUUGCACGGCAUGGGUUACGGCUGAACCCUUCGUAGAGGAGAGCCGAGAAAACACAAUGCUCAUUUCCCCCCUUCCCCCCCACCGGGCGACUUCUAUCUUCAGGAUGGUCCCUUCUGUCCACACACCCCCCCUCGUUUUUUUUUAGUUUAAGAAAUCACCUGAGGGCCUUUGGAAACAACGCCCUUUUAUUUUUUGGACAUAUCCGAAGUUGCGUGAGAGUUUGCCAUCGCUCACGCUCCCUUGUAAAUCACCCUUGAACAGUAGUAACCCGAAAAUAAAAUAAAAAUUAAAAACUCAACAAGGCGUCUGGUUUCGAUUUGGAGGCAAAGGCUUUGCCAAAGGCUGUGAUUGAUUCUAAGACCACCCUUCGGUAAGGCAAGACUUCGCUGGCCAGAUUACCUUAAAGCACUUUGUGGGUUCUCCCAAGCUCACCACGUGGGGCAUUGGCAGCUGGAAUCCUCUCUCUCAGUUCCUGCCUGCCAGCCAGACCCUGAGAAGGCAAGGCAAGCCCCUCCCCAACAUUGGGUCAGGCUACAGGAGGCUCUACUACACCCUGCCUGGGUGGUUGCUCUAACUCAGGGGUGUCAAACGAGAUUUCAUUGAAGGUUGCGUUUGAACUUGGUGGGCCAGGGACUAUAGAAAAUGAAAAGAUACAUACAUACAUACAUACAUACAACCUUUAAAGCGCUCCAUGGCUUAGGCCCAGGGUACC